rnacentral:rRNA from 1 species
AGUGAACGCUGGCGGUAGGCCUAACACAUGCAAGUCGAACGGCAGCACCGUAAGAGCUUGCUCUUACGGGUGGCGAGUGGCGGACGGGUGAGGAAUACAUCGGAAUCUACUUUUUCGUGGGGGAUAACGUAGGGAAACUUACGCUAAUACCGCAUACGACCUACGGGUGAAAGCAGGGGAUCUUCGGACCUUGCGCGAUUGAAUGAGCCGAUGUCGGAUUAGCUAGUUGGCGGGGUAAAGGCCCACCAAGGCGACGAUCCGUAGCUGGUCUGAGAGGAUGAUAAGCCACACUGGAACUGAGACACGGUCCAGACUCCUACGGGAGGCAGCAGUGGGGAAUAUUGGACAAUGGGCGCAAGCCUGAUCCAGCCAUACCGCGUGGGUGAAGAAGGCCUUCGGGUUGUAAAGCCCUUUUGUUGGGAAAGAAAAGCAGCAGGUUAAUACCCCGCUGUUCUGACGGUACCCAAAGAAUAAGCACCGGCUAACUUCGUG